rnacentral:rRNA from 1 species
GGACGAUAAUGACGGUACUUUAGGAGGAAGCUCCGGCUAACUACGUGCCAGCAGCCGCGGUAAUACGUAGGGAGCGAGCGUUGUCCGGAAUUACUGGGCGUAAAGGGAGCGUAGGCGGGAUCGCAAGUCAGAUGUGAAAUACAUGGGCUCAACCCAUGGGCUGCAUUUGAAACUGCGGUUCUUGAGUGAAGUAGAGGUAAGCGGAAUUCCUGGUGUAGCGGUGAAAUGCGUAGAUAUCAGGAGGAACACCGGUGGCGAAGGCGGCUUACUGGGCUUUUACUGACGCUGAGGCUCGAAAGCGCGGGGAGCAAACAGGAUUAGAUACCCUGCUAGUCCACGCUGUAAACGAUGAUUACUAGGUGUGGGGGGACUGACCCCUUCCGUGCCGCAGUUAACACAAUAGGUAAUCCACCUGGGGAGUACGGCCGCAAGGUUGAAACUCAAAGGAAUUGACGGGGGCCCGCACAAGCAGUGGAGUAUGUGGUUUAAUUCGAAGCAACGCGAAGAACCUUACCAGGUCUUGACAUCGUAUGCAUACCAUAGAGAUAUGGGAAAUCCCUUCGGGGACAUAUAGACAGGUGGUGCAUGGUUGUCGUCAGCUCGUGUCGUGAGAUGUUGGGUUAAGUCCCGCAACGAGCGCAACCCUUACCUUUAGUUGCUACGCAAGAGCACUCUAAAGGGACUGCCGUUGACAAAACGGAGGAAGGUGGGGAUGACGUCAAAUCAUCAUGCCCCUUAUGACCUGGGCUACACACGUACUACAAUGGCAAUUAACAAAGAGAAGCAAGACAGUGAUGUGGAGCGAAUCUCAAAAAAUUGUCCCAGUUCAGAUUGC